UCUGAGGGUGAGUUAUAGGUGACAGAAUACUCAUGUUCAUUUUAUUUAUGUAAAUAUACAGAGCAUCUAGCACAUCACUGUUAUUUGAUCACAGUUCAGUUCUAUCUGUAACGUUUCCUUUUGUUAUGCUGUGUUAGGAGGAUCCCACCAUGUCUGGAUAUACAAGUAUGCAGUACAUCAAUGCACUUUCUCUAUUGACGAUCUUUGGAACAUCCAAAAUAAUUGCUGACCAUCAAAACCUAUGACAUGUUGCACAUGUUAACAACCUUUUAUCUGGUCAGCAGCAGUCUGAUUAUGGUGGGGAUGAGGAUUAAUAUGCUCAUUGAGCGAGUUGGAUUGACCCAGACCUUCCUUCUCUACGUUGGGGAAAUGUAGCAUCCGGAAGUUCUACAUCAUCCUGGACCAGAAAGAGUCCCCUGCAUGAUCCAGUCCCCUGCUGCAGCCUUGGACAAACUCUUUAAGGCACUCUUUGUCUUAUGGUGAGGCCUUGUUAAAUUUCUACACAUUUAUUCAAACAACCGUGCAUGGAAUUGAAGUCCAAGGGGUCAAGAAAACUAAAGUGAGAAUGCAAAACUGAGGUUCAACCUUAUUUCAGAACAUUUAGUGCAAUGGAAGAACUUGUCAUCCUCAUGAUCAUGCAAUGACCCUGUUCUUAAUUCUUCUUGGCCUUAAUGCUAUUUAGGCCUUGUCUAAUACUCACUGAACAUUGUAUUCUUUACUGUAUUAACAGGGUAUAGAUUAUUGUUUGAGUUUUUAUUUUAAAAGAUUUUAGUUUGGACCUGUUAAUGAAAUCUCAGAUUGCAG